CGCAGGGCGCGAACGAGAGGAGAAGGUUGAGCAUCCCGCCGACGACAUCGUUUCGAGCUCAAGAUGGUCUACAGAUACAUGCAACAAUUGAGGUUUCAUGUGCAAGGAAGCAAAGAAGAUGCGAGACCGUUUUUCUUUUGGAAUAGAAGAAUCAAAGGAUACACCGACCGAUUAAAGGUUAGAAGACAUGCCAAAUAAUGGAUACUUCUCAAUCAAAUGAACAAACAUGCUAUCCGCCGAGCUUCAAGACUGAAGGGAUAGAUAACCACAACUUCUAAUGACCUAUACCAGCGAUUGAUUGUAGCAUACUGGAUUCCUAAUGCUGACAGGAAUAGCCGCCAUGGC